GUAAGGGGUGUCUGCCACUCCCUUUUUUGCAUGGUGCUGGCACAGCAAGCUCCUCAGGAUGAAAGGAGGAGGAACAUUCUAUUCUUGUAUCCUAAAUAUCUUUCUCCCAAAAAUUCAGCUCCGCUGCAAACUCUGAGGUAUCUUCUAAACCACAUUUCACGCAAUUUGAUCCUUUCCUGGAUGUGUGGUCUUUCAUCUGUCUGUGCCUCAGGUGUCCUGAGAUUAGCAGUUCUAAUACUUAUCUGGCUUCCAGCUAGGUAUUAAGAAUAAAAGGAUAAUGAA